rnacentral:siRNA from 1 species
UACAAAAAGGCCUCUAAUUUA